rnacentral:rRNA from 1 species
ACUCCUACGGGAGGCAGCAGUAGGGAAUCUUCCGCAAUGGGCGAAAGCCUGACGGAGCAACGCCGCGUGAGUGAUGAAGGUCUUAGGAUCGUAAAACUCUGUUGUUAGGGAAGAACAAAUUUGUUAGUAACUGAACAAGUCUUGACGGUACCUAACCAGAAAGCCACGGCUAACUACGUGCCAGCAGCCGCGGUAAUACGUAGGUGGCAAGCGUUAUCCGGAAUUAUUGGGCGUAAAGCGCGCGUAGGCGGUUUCUUAAGUCUGAUGUGAAAGUCCACGGCUCAACCGUGGAAGGUCAUUGGAAACUGGGGAACUUGAGUGCAGAAGAGGAGAGUGGAAUUCCAUGUGUAGCGGUGAAAUGCGCAGAGAUAUGGAGGAACACCAGUGGCGAAGGCGGCUCUCUGGUCUGUAACUGACGCUGAUGUGCGAAAGCGUGGGGAUCAAACAGGAUUAGAUACCCUGGUAGUCCACGCCGUAAACGAUGAGUGCUAAGUGUUAGGGGGUUUCCGCCCCUUAGUGC